rnacentral:rRNA from 1 species
UACGAAGGGGGCUAGCGUUGCUCGGAAUCACUGGGCGUAAAGCGCACGUAGGCGGCUUUCUAAGUCAGAGGUGAAAUCCUGGAGCUCAACUCCAGAACUGCCUUUGAUACUGAGAAUCUUGAGUACGGGAGAGGUGAGUGGAACUGCGAGUGUAGAGGUGAAAUUCGUAGAUAUUCGCAAGAACACCAGUGGCGAAGGCGGCUCACUGGCCCGUAACUGACGCUGAGGCACGAAAGCGUGGGGAGCAAACAGG